rnacentral:rRNA from 1 species
AAUUCGAUGCAACGCGAAGAUCCUUACCUACUCUUGACAUCCAGAGAACUUUCCAGAGAUGGAUUGGUGCCUUCGGGAACUCUGAGACAGGUGCUGCAUGGCUGUCGUCAGCUCGUGUUGUGAAAUGUUGGGUUAAGUCCCGCAACGAGCGCAACCCUUAUCCUUUGUUGCCAGCGGUUCGGCCGGGAACUCAAAGGAGACUGCCAGUGAUAAACUGGAGGAAGGUGGGGAUGACGUCAAGUCAUCAUGGCCCUUACGAGUAGGGCUACACACGUGCUACAAUGGCGUAUACAAAGAGAAGCGACCUCGCGAGAGCAAGCGGACCUCAUAAAGUACGUCGUAGUCCGGAUUGGAGUCUGCAACUCGACUCCAUGAAGUCGGAAUCGCUAGUAAUCGUAGAUCAGAAUGCUACGGUGAAUACGUUCCCGGGCCUUGUACACACCGCCCGUCACACCAUGGGAGUGGGUUGCAAAAGAAGUAGGUAGCUUAACCUUCGGGAGGGCGCUUACCACUUUGUGAUUCAUGACUGGGGUGAAGUCGAACAA